AGUGAACGCUGGCGGCAGGCCUAACACAUGCAAGUCGAACGGCAGCACGGGAGCUGGCACCUGGUAGCGGUGGCCGGACGCGGAAGGAAGACGUAUGCACCGGUCCUGUAGUGGUGGAGAGGCCGAACGAAGGGAGAUUAAUACCGAAUACGAACAACGGCUGAAGGCGAAAGACCGGGAGCCCUCGCGCUGUGGGGAUGGAAGAUGUCGGAUUAGCUAGUUGGAGGGGUAAAGGCCAACCAAGGCGACGAUCAGUAGCUGGUCUGAGAGGAAGAGCAGCCACACUGGAACUGAGACACGGCCCAGACUCCUACGGGAGGCAGCAGUGGGGAAUUUUGGACAAUGGGCGCAAGCCUGAUCCAGCCAUGCCGCGUGUGUGAAGAAGGCCUUCGGGUUGUAAAGCCCUUUUGUCGGGAAAGAAAUCCUUCACGUUAAUACGGUCGGGGGCUGACGGUACCGGAAGAAUAAGCACCGGCUAACUACGUG
rnacentral:rRNA from 1 species